rnacentral:rRNA from 1 species
UACAGAGGAUGCAAGCGUUAUCCGGAAUGAUUGGGCGUAAAGCGUCUGUAGGUGGCUUUUUAAGUCCGCCGUCAAAUCCCAGGGCUCAACUCUGGACAGGCGGUGGAAACUACCAAGCUGGAGUACGGUAGGGGCAGAGGGAAUUUCCGGUGGAGCGGUGAAAUGCGUAGAUAUCAUUUGGAACGCCAAUGGUGAAAACAGGUAGCUGGGGAUGUGCUGACGCUGGAGACACGAAAGCCAGGGGAGCGAACGGG